AAGCAAAUGGUGGAUGCCUUGGGAUAUGAAGGCGAUGAAGGACGUGGCGUGCCUGCGAAAAGCCUCGGGGAGGUGGUUAGCAACCUGCGAUCCGGUAGUAGCGGCGAGCGAAAAGGGAAGAGCCCAAACCACUUUUUCUCGCAAGAGAAAAAGUGGGGUUGCAAGGAAAUAGCGUCGGGAGCCCUGCUCUGAACCAAGAAGUUCUGGUGUUCAGAGUAGCGCUUGACCGAGGGAGUCCAAAAAACAAGGGUUGGUUAAAAGAAGCUUCCUGGAACGGAGCGCCAAAGAGGGUAAAAGCCCCGUAUUUGAAAAUUCCUUUGUGCUCCUUGCUGUUUUACUUAAGUACCUUGGGAAACGAAAGUCCCGAGGGAACCAUCCCGGACUGCCGGGAAAGGCUAAAUACUUCAUAUCACCGAUAGUGAACCAGUACCGUGAGGGAAAGGUGAAAAGCAGCCCGUUGAGGGCGGUGAAAUAGAACCUGAAACCAUUUUGCUUACAAAGAGUAGGAGUCUCUCCGCCGCAAGGCGUCGAGAUGACUGCGUGCUUUUUGCAGAACGACCCAGCGAGUUUACGGA
rnacentral:rRNA from 1 species